AAAGCCUUUUACUCAGCCCUGUGUAUGUCGACUAAAUAAAGAAUGCUCUUGUGCGGGUGUGAAAUGUCAAAACUUGUUUACAUUUCGUCCGAAAUAGGAGAUAAAUCACCGUGAACCGUGAAGAUUUUUCACUGUUUCCACGGUUUCCCAACAAUUUGCAGGAAAAAAGUUAAGGUGCAACUACGAAUAAAUUAUUGGCUGCAUAGUGUCAUAGUGAACGAAGACCAUAAUAAAAAAUAAAAAUGAACAGAAAAGAAA